GCCCGGCUGGCGCAAUCGGUUAGCGCACUCGGCUUUUAGUUAACUAUAAGCACUAUCAGCCAACCGAGGGGUUGAGAGUUCGAAUCUCUCGUCGGGCG
rnacentral:tRNA from 1 species